UACGGAGGGUGCUAGCGUUGUUCGGAAUUACUGGGCGUAAAGCGCACGUAGGCGGCUUUGUAAGUUAGAGGUGAAAGCCCGGAGCUCAACUCCGGAAUUGCCUUUAAGACUGCAUCGCUUGAAUCCAGGAGAGGUGAGUGGAAUUCCGAGUGUAGAGGUGAAAUUCGUAGAUAUUCGGAAGAACACCAGUGGCGAAGGCGGCUCACUGGACUGGUAUUGACGCUGAGGUGCGAAAGCGUGGGGAGCAAACAGG
rnacentral:rRNA from 1 species